rnacentral:rRNA from 1 species
UGAUAUUUUUUAAGAGCCGCGGUAUUCUGACCGUGCAAAGGUAGCAUAAUUGUUAGUUUUUUAAUUGGGAUCUUGUAUGAAUGGUUGGACAAAAGAAAAUCUGUCUCUUAGAUUAUAAUUGAAUUUAACUUUUAAGUGAAAAGGCUUAAAUUAAUUAAAAAGACGAUAAGACCCUAUAAAGCUUUAUAAAUAAUUUCUAUUCAGUUAAAUUAUAUUAUAAAAAUUUAGUAGUUGUAUUUAUUUUAUUGGGGUGAUAAAAGUAUAAUUAUUGUUAACUGCUUGAUUAUCAUACAAAAUAGUUGGAUAAAAUAAUUAAAGAUCCUAAUUAAAGAUUAAAAGAUUAAGUUACUUUAGGGAUAACAGCGUUAUUUUUUUUGAGAGUUCUUAUCGAAAAAAAAGUUUGCGACCUCGAUGUUGAAUUAAAAUAUCUAAGUAAUUGUAGCAGUUACUUAAGAGGGUCUGUUCGACCUUUAAAUUUUUA